CUGCUAUUCAUAAUCAAAAAAAGUCAUUUGAAAACAGGAAAGCAGAAAAGAUGCUGCAUAUUGUUUUUUUCCUCUCCUAAAAAAGGCUGUAAGCUCAUCAUGGGCUGAGUGCCUGCCUGCCGUCCCGGAGGCUUGUGCAGUUGGCCGCAUUCAUCCUCUGAGUUGUCCUUGCCCACCCCUGUUUCUCCCUCCGCCUCACAUCAGACUUCCUGUGGCACUUUUAUAAGCUGCCAGAAGGGAAGUGACCUGGUUACGAGUCCAGCUCUGCAAGCUGCCUCAGUAAUGCUUUUCCUCCCCCUGCAUUAAUGCUGUGUGAGCACAACGUCCUCAGCCUUUCAGUGCAUUUGAAGCAGAGACRUUAUGGUCUGCGCUGCAGUUCGUGGUGGUGACAGCUACAAUCAUUGACUUGUGACAGCUCUGUUACGAAGUGCGUAGCCACUGACUUCAGACAGAUGCUCCAGAAUAAGAUUAUAACUGUAUUUCUAUUAUUUUAAUCAGUGGGAACUGCUCACAGCAAGUGCCUCUCUGAGAAUAACUCAUUAAUCACAGGAGUUGCCCAUGGGAGGAGCCACCUAGAGCCCUGGAC
rnacentral:lncRNA from 1 species